UACGGAGGGUGCGAGCGUUGUCCGGAAUCACUGGGCGUAAAGGGCGCGUAGGCGGCAUGCCAAGCGUGUGGUGAAAGCCCGGGGCUCAACCCCGGCGGGUCGGUGGAGACUGGUCUUCUUGAAGAUGCUAGGGGGAGGUGGAAUUAUCGGUGUAGCGGUGAAAUGCGUAGAGAUCGAUAGGAACACCAGUGGCGAAGGCGGCCUCCUGGGGCACUCUUGACGCUGAGGCGCGAAAGCUGGGGGAGCGAACGGG
rnacentral:rRNA from 1 species